GGUUCGCGCGGCGGUUGGCCGAUUUCACUUCGACCCACGCGCCAAUUCCGCUUGUAUCAGUGAUGGUGAUACACUGUCAUUGCAUUGAAAGUCAAGUUUGUGGAUAAUAAUGGACUCGAGAUCGUUCCAUUCCUUAUAUUUUCCUUCCGAUUAUAUUUAUUGCGAUUUCCAUCAAACUAAAAUAAAAUAACCUCGAUUACAUUCUCUUAAGAAAUCUUAUUAUACUCAACGAGUGAAGUUUUGUCCUUUUCCAACGAUGGAAACCUUAAAGAAAGAAUUAUUAUAUUUUCCAAACAUUGUUAUAACAACGGAUGCAAACGUUCGUAUAAAUUCGAUUCUUCCUAUAUAUAUAUAACCGGUUUCAUUUUAUCGUCUUAAGGAGCAAGGAACACGAGAGAGAGAGAGUGGAGGUUAGAAGAGAGAUCGCGUGACGGAGAGUUUUCGCCAUUGGGUAUGGAAUACGCAACGCUGUUUCCAUGCACACGCGAUAUUAUCCGGGUGAUCGAACGCGGAGAGCGUGUAUGCAUUCGUUUCGUGACGCACGUGGCCGUUUCAAAGUUCGCCCAUCGGGCGAUAUACUUGCGAGAUAAUCGGGCCGGCUCUCGUUUUGUCCCUUCGUGAAAAUGGCCAAUAUGUCCGCCCGGCCAAUUUAGUGUGCAAUUUGUAACAGUGUUCGAAUUAAUAUCGGCGGUAACGGAAGCUCGGUGUAGAGCGUGUUGGCGUAGAUUUUGAAAGAAGUAGUUAUUGGAGCUUUCUUGUCUAGACUCCACGGAUGUGAAGCUGAUGUCUCUCUCUCUCUCUGUGUUUGCAACCACUCUCCUGAUUACGUGCACCGCUAUUUACACUGCUCUCAGUCGAGAUUUUCAAUGUCGAGGGGGUAAUUCCUUCGACUGUCGUGGAAUCUUUCGCGCACAGCUCUGAAAGAAGAACGUAAAUAAUUCCGCGCAAGCGUUGGAAUAUGUCAACAACGUUUCCAUCCUUCCUCCAUCCGCGGUACCAUCGGUUUUUUAGCAAGUGGAUCGAAUUGGUUCGAGCCUCGAACGAAACACAAAAGGAAACAUAAGUUGCUCGAGUAGAAAUAAUUUUGGAAAACGAAGAAGUUUGGACGCAGAUUUCCAAGAUUUUCCAGAUUUCCAUUCUUAAUUUGCUCUUAAUAUAUUGUUUAUAUAUGCGAGCAAAUUAUUUCAUCUUUUGUACCCAGAAUCUGGAGGAUUAAAGCGCACAAUCUGAUCGAACGAUAGCGAUAGCGUGUUCUGAAAAGCGUACAGAAUAAACCUAUUUCAUCCUUUUGUUUCGUGGAUUCGCAUCUCUUGCAAAGGAAUUAUCAUCCUGUUUCUGACAGUGGUGGGCAAAGAAUACAAAAGGCGUAGCCGGAAGAAAAGUGGCUGCAUUGCACACGUACAAAGGGAUAAAAACGAUUCCCCCGCAUUGUUCCAGCUCUGGACUCGUUAUCGCUAUCCAAGGAAAUCUCCAAGGUGGACGGAAUAGAAAUCGAAGGAAGGGAGAAGAAGGAGGAGGAGGAGGAAAGGAAGACGAAGUGGAGGAGAUGGGUUCACAAUCGCCAUUAUGCGCACUCGGUGAAUUCCAUUAGGAGAGAAGAAGCUUUAUCAGUGCGCUCGAUGCUGGCACAAGUCAAAUGUCAUUUCUGUCUCGCUGAAUCUUGUCGCUGAAAACUCGACAUCUAAACCUGUCACCACCCUUUCUAUCGUCGAUCGGUACAAAGGGUGUCGAGAUCGAAUCAAAUUAAAAUUGUAAAAAUUAAAAGUGUAGAGGAAUUUCGAUACCUUGGAGUUUUUCAAAAAUAGAUUAAAUUGCAAAUUGUAUGUUUGAAGUGUAAUUGAUAAUAAUUUGAAGGAUAAAUUUGAGGAAAUGAAUGGAACGAAAGUAACCCAUAAAAUUCUAGAUGGCGCUGAAACGAAUUUGAGAUGUUAUUGAAAAAAAAGAACACUAUACAUAUCACUUCCACAGGAAGUACUUGGGUACAACAGUUUUCUAACAAACGAAGAGGAGGAGGAAGAGAAGGUGAACUUGGAGCUUUGAAAUCACGACCGCUUCAUUAAGCAAGAAAGAGGUUCGAGAUAGAGAGAUUGCCGCUACGACGCCUGCCAGGAUAAUUUAUCACCAACCCUCCGUGGCCUGUGGAGGCUCGUUUCGAUGAGUUACGACGCGUUGAAUCUGUUCCUCCUUUUUUACCGCCCAUAAAACUCUGAUCGACGAGGCUGCCACGUGUAGUAAAGUCCAGCCACGGAGGAUCGAAAAUCUGCAAUCACGAUUAUUGAUGAAAUUCUAGUACAGGUGUCGAUUAGGCGAGGGAAAAGAGUUUAAAUUAUACGAAGAGAACAAUUUUUCAAGAUGCGUAAUCGUAUAAUUUGUUUAGGAACGGUACGAAUUUAGGAGAGGUUUCGAAAGUUAGAAUUAUAAAAUGAUGGUGAUAAAGUUUAUUAAGAUUGGAUAUUUAAAAAUCGGAUAUUAUCGCGAAUCCAACUCGUAUAAUCGAAUCGAUACACGUAUAUCAACGUCGUGUCUGGUAGUUACGGAAGAUUAAUGGAACGGAACGAUUCCGUGUAUUUAUCCGAAUAAAAGUCGCGUUACGAGAAUGUCGAUAUUUCAAUCGAUAAUGCAUGAAGUUUUAUUAAUAAUAUAAAGCAGAGAUUGAAAUCUACGAUAAGACGUAUUUUUAUUUAUUCAUAAGAUUUUUGUAAUUGUAUGCGUGAAAGAUAUUUCCAGACUAUUAUAAAUUUAUUAAACCACUUUUCUUAUCACGAGAUGCAUCAUGUAUUUAUGUAUUUGUGAAGUUUUAUUAAUAAUAUAAAGCAGAGAUUUAAAUCUACGAUAA